UAGGGAAUCUUCGGCAAUGGACGAAAGUCUGACCGAGCAACGCCGCGUGAGUGAAGAAGGUUUUCGGAUCGUAAAACUCUGUUGUUAGAGAAGAACAAGGACGUUAGUAACUGAACGUCCCCUGACGGUAUCUAACCAGAAAGCCACGGCUAACUACGUGCCAGCAGCCGCGGUAAUACUUAGGUGGCAAGCGUUGUCCGGAUUUAUUGGGCGUAAAGCGAGCGCAGGCGGUUUCUUAAGUCUGAUGUGAAAGCCCCCGGCUCAACCGGGGAGGGUCAUUGGAAACUGGGAGACUUGAGUGCAGAAGAGGAGAGUGGAAUUCCAUGUGUAGCGGUGAAAUGCGUAGAUAUAUGGAGGAACACCAGUGGCGAAGGCGGCUCUCUGGUCUGUAACUGACGCUGAGGCUCGAAAGCGUGGGGAGCAAACAGG
rnacentral:rRNA from 1 species